rnacentral:rRNA from 1 species
AACGAACGUUGGCGGUGUGCCUAAUACAUGCAAGUCGAGCGAGAAAGCCGGGGCAACUCGGCGAGUACAGCGGCGGAAGGGUGCGUAAUACAUGGAUAACGUACCCUCUAGUUGGGGAUAACCCUCCGAAAGGUGGGCUAAUACCGAAUAAAGGCAGCGGGUGGCAUCAUCUGCUGCUUAAAGACGCAAGUCGCUAGAGGAGCGGUCCAUGGCCUAUCAGCUAGUUGGCGGGGUAACGGCCCACCAAGGCAAUGACGGGUAGCCGGACUGAGAGGUUGAACGGCCACACUGGGACUGAGACACGGCCCAGACAUCUACGGAUGGCAGCAGUAGGGAAUCUUGCGCAAUGGGCGAAAGCCUGACGCAGCGACACCGCGU